AGGAUGAUGUUCUAACCAAUUGAGCUACCAGGCCAGGGUGAGUUUUCAUUGGAUUCUUUAUAUUCUUUCUCCCAGCCAUACUCAACUUGCCAUCCCCAGGUACACUAGUUUGCAUUUCUAGAAUUUUGUAUAAAAGAAAUCCUACAGUUACUCUUGUAUGGCUGCUUUUACUAAGCGCGUAUAUAUAUAUAUUUAGUAUUAUUUAUGUUGUGUAUGCAAAAGCGUGGCAUCUAAUAAGAAGCCAGGUUCUGUUAUCUAGUAAGGGUGGCACGUGUACAAACAACAAAGGUGCUUUUUUAUGUUCUGACAAUCGGUGAGAUAGUUUUUUAAAGUGGGAAAGUGAAGUUUAACAAAUUUAAGUUCCGUUUCAUGAAUUCAUUAUCAAUAAAAAUUUUUGAAUCAUCUGCCUCGUA